rnacentral:misc_RNA from 1 species
UACAGAGGGUGCAAGCGUUAAUCGGAAUUACUGGGCGUAAAGCGCGCGUAGGUGGUUUGUUAAGUUGGAUGUGAAAGCCCCGGGCUCAACCUGGGAACUGCAUCCAAAACUGGCCGGCUAGAGUACGGUAGAGGGUGGUGGAAUUUCCUGUGUAGCGGUGAAAUGCGUAGAUAUAGGAAGGAACACCAGUGGCGAAGGCGACUACCUGGACUGAUACUGUCACUGAGGUGCGAAGGCGGGGGGGGAAAAAAGG